rnacentral:lncRNA from 13 species
UUUCCAUCCCCAAAGUUUUCUUCUUGUGAAGAGAGGUCAAAAUAAUAUAAUGCCUGGUUAUUCUCCACCUGUUUGCUCAUUAGGGAGGUCCUUAUACGCUUGCUAUGUUGUCAAGGCCAGCUUGUGGAUUGCCUAGACGAAGAAAGGAGUAUGAGUUUCUGAUAAUGUGCGUGCUACAUGAAAGAUGGCCCUCCAUCAUGCAGGUGGGUCUCAUCUAAUCGUCCGAAUGCCUGACUGGAACAAAAGACGUACCUCUCGUGAGCAAGAGGACCUGCUGCCAUAGACUGUUUCCAGACGUGAGCUGGAACACUGGCUCUUCCCUGAGUCCCCAACAUGGAAAUAGAAAUUGAAUCUCACCGACUCAGUUUGCCAUACCCAGAUUUCUCUUCUUUCCCUUCCCCGAGAAGACAGAAACUUCCCUUGACUGUGAAGGGGAAGGUCACUUAGAUCCCUUUUGAUGGGGAACCCCUCCGCAGUAGAGGAUUAGGCAGAGGAGAAUGGCCGCAUGACCUCUCAGAAGGUCUAAAUUCAGCCCAGCAAAAAUUCUGAUGUAAGAACAUCCAAACUAUGUAGAAAAAACAUUUUAUUUGUAUAAUAGCUUUGCCAAAAUUCUAUAACCUGCUUUUUUCACUUGAUAUCUUAACAUUCUUUACAUCAUCAAACAUAGAGAUACAAAGUAAAUUUAAGAGCUACAUAAUAUAAUUUUGGAUAGAUGCUCCAUAAUGUUCUAUUAGUAAUAUAUUUUUGGACAUAUUGGUUAAAUCCAAGUUUUCAUUAAUGUAAACAAUCUUGCUGUCAGACUCAAGUAUCUUUACUGUAAGGAAAGAGUAAUUCAAAGCAACAUGUGCUUUACAAGAAUCAAAGCCGGGAAGCUGAGAAGCACAAUUGACGAAGGUCAAAUCUAGGACACUAAUUUGAAACCACCGAAGAAUGGAAAGCUUCUUUACAAAACCUCCUUAAACAUAUGGUCGCUAUCUCAGUCUCCGUUACUUAAUUUUUGGUGACUUACUAUUUGGUUUUCUCAAAGAGAGGUGGCCUCUUGUGAACCAGGCAACAAAUGCAUUGCUUUUCAUAUUCUCAGGCUUUCUUCAAUGUUCAGCAAAGAGUGAACGCAUACGAUUUAUAGAAUGAUUGCCACAAUGAUGCUUGCUUUGUUAACACAUGUUAAGGUGAAAGGAGAUUUGAAAAAACACAUAUUCACUAGACAUACCUUUAAAAGCAUAUUAUGACUUGGCAUCUCCAAAAAACAGAAACCGGUGAUGGUUCAGUGCUCUUUCUGACAU